AAGUCGUAACAAGGUCUCCGUUGGUGAACCAGCGGAGGGAUCAUUACUGAGUACUACACUCUCUACCCUUUGUGAACUAUUAUACCUGUUGCUUCGGCGGCGCCCGCAAGGGUGCCCGCCGUCUCAUCAGAAUCUCUGUUUUCGAACCGACGAUACUUCUGAGUGUUCUUAGCGAACUGUCAAAACUUUUAACAACGGAUCUCUGGCUCCAGCAUCGAUGAAGAACGCAGCGAAACGCGAUAUGUAAUGUGAAUUGCAGAAUUCAGUGGAAUCAUCGAAUCUUUGAACGCACAUGGGCGCCUUCCAGUAUCCUGGGAGGCAUGCCUGUCCGAGCGUCGUUUCAACCCUCGAGCCCCUGUGGCCCGGCGUUGGGGAUCUGCACGGCAGCCCCUAAAAACCAGUGGCGGACCCGAAGGGCCCUCUCCUUUGCGCAGUAGCAUUCGCCUCGCAUCGGGAGUCCUCGGCGUCUGCCUCUAAACCCCCCACAAGCCCGCUUCGGCGGCACCAAGGUUGACCUCGGAUCAGGUAGGAAUACCGCUGAACUUAA
rnacentral:rRNA from 1 species